UGGUUAAUCAUAUAAUAAAAAUAUAUAUAUAUUUGUAAAAAAAAAAAAAACCCACGAUCCCACAAUUUCAGCAAUCUCCUUCUUCCUUUCCAAAAACAAAAAACCCAGCAACUCAAGAUGCUUCCCUAUCAAAUUUACGCGCUCACGAUUUUGUUUUCCCGCACUAAUUUCCCACUCUCCAAGCAAUCUCAAACCCACGAUCUUCAAUCUCAAACAUUGAAAUCAAACCGUAAAAACAAAAUCAAUC
rnacentral:lncRNA from 1 species